rnacentral:rRNA from 1 species
GCUCAAUGAAGGUGGUGCAUGGCUGUCGUCAGCUCGUGUCGUGAGAUGUUGGGUUAAGUCCCGCAACGAGCGCAACCCUUAUUCUAUGUUGCCAGCACGUAAUGGUGGGGACUCGUAGGAGACUGCCGGGGUCAACUCGGAGGAAGGUGGGGAUGACGUCAAGUCAUCAUGCCCCUUAUGUCUAGGGCUGCAAACACGCUACAAUGGCCGGUACAAAGGGCUGCGAAACCGCGAGGUUUAGCGAAUCCCAUAAAGCCGGUCUCAGUUCGGAUUGGAGGCUGCAACUCGCCUCCAUGAAGCUGGAGUUGCUAGUAAUCCCGGAUCAGCACGCCGGGGUGAAUACGUUCCCGGGCCUUGUACACACCGCCCGUCACACCACGAAAGUCGGUAACACCCGAAGCCGGUGGCCUAACCGUAAGGAAGGAGCCGUCGAAGGUGGGAUCG